rnacentral:rRNA from 1 species
UACUAGAGUAGCACUCGCAUAUCAAUAAGCGGAGGAAAAGAAACUAACAAGGAUUCCCCUAGUAACGGCGAGUGAAGCGGGAAGAGCUCAAAUUUGAAAUCUUAAAGGGUUUCCCUUUACGAAUUGUAGUUUAAAGAAGUGUUUUCUGUUGAGGUUUUGGUAAAAGUUCUUUGGAAUAGGACAUCAUAGAGGGUGAGAAUCCCGUAUUUGACCUUUACUUUCAACUAUUGUGAUACACUUUCAAAGAGUCGGAUUGUUUGGGAAUGCAGUCCAAAAUGGGUGGUAAAUUUCAUCUAAAGCUAAAUAUUGGCGAGAGACCGAUAGCGAACAAGUACCGUGAGGGAAAGAUGAAAAGAACUUUGAAAAGAGAGUUAAACAGUACGUGAAAUUGUCAAAAGGGAAGCGUUUGACACCAGUGUUGUUUUUCUGAAAAUCAAUUAAAGAACUGUUUAUGCUAAGCUGUUUAGACUUUAUCAGCUAUCUGUUUAGUUUUGAGCUUUUCUUUAAUGCACUUUUCAGUUAACAAGUCAACAUCAAUUUCUUUUGCUGUAAAAAAGCUUGAGGAAGGUGGCUUGAGAUUCGUCUUAAGUGUUUAUAGCCUCUUGCCUAUGCAGUCGGAGAGAUUGAGGUCUGCAGCGUAGAUCCUUCGGGGCUAAAUGCAUUUGUGCUAAGAUAUAGCAUUUUAUAGACAACUUGUUGACUAUGAUUUGUCUUGUAGCUUACUCGCUUAUGUUAUUUUACCUACGCUUAGGAUGUUGAGCGCAUGUCUCUCUCU